rnacentral:rRNA from 1 species
GACGAACGCUGGCGGCGUGCCUAAUACAUGCAAGUCGAACGCUAAAGCUUGGUGCUUGCACCGAGCGGGUGAGUCGCGCACGGGUGAGUAACGCGUGGGUAACCUGCCUGGUAGCGGGGGAUAACUAUUGAAAACGAUAGCUAAUACCGCAUAAGAGUAUAUGUUGCAUGACGUUUGCUUAAAAGGUGCAAUUGCGUCACUACCAGAUGGACUUGCGUUGUAUUAGCUAGUUGGUGGGGUAACGGCUCACCAAGGCGACGAGACAUAGCCGACCUGAGAGGGGGAGCGGCCACACUGGGACUGAGACACGGCCCAGACUCCUACGGGAGGCAGCAGUAGGGAAUCUUCGGCAAUGGACGGAAGUCUGACCGAGCAACGCCGCGUGGGUGAAGAAGGUUUUCGGGUCGGAAAGCUCUGUUGUAAGAGAAGAAAGAGCGUGAGAGUGGAAAGUUCACAGUGUGACGGUAUCUUACCAGAAAGAGACGGCUAACUACGUG